GGGGAAUUAGCUCAGGGGUAGAGCGCCCGCUUUGCAUGCGGGAGGCCAUGGAUUCAAAUUCCAUAUUCUCCA
rnacentral:tRNA from 1 species